GCGCAAGGCGGAAACGGAGCAGGUCCGGGAGCAGCUUGCGCUGCUGCUUCGGAGUAAAGACUGC
rnacentral:SRP_RNA from 1 species